rnacentral:rRNA from 1 species
GAUGAACGCUGGCGGCGUGCCUAAUACAUGCAAGUCGAGCGAACGGACGAGAAGCUUUCUUCUCUGAUGUUAGCGGCGGACGGGUGAGUAACACGUGGAUAACCUACCUAUAAGACUGGGAUAACUUCGGGAAACCGGAUCUAAUACCGGAUAAUAUUUUGAACCGCAUUGUUCAAAAGUGAAAUACGGUCUUGCUGUCACUUAUAGAUGGAUCAGCGCUGCAUUAGCUAGUUGGUAAGGUAACGGCUUACCAAGGCAACGAUGCAUAGCCGACCUGAGAGGGUGAUCGCACACACUGGAACUGAGAAACGGUCCAGACUCCUACGGGAGGAAGCAGUCGGGAAUCUUACGCAAUGGGCGAAAGCCUGACGGAGCAACGCCGCGUGAGUCAUGAAGGUCUUCGGAUCGUAAAACUCUGUUAUUAGGGAAGAACAUAUGUGUAAGUAACCGUGAACAUAUUGACGGUACCUAAUCAGAAAGCCCCGGCUAACUACGUG